GCAUACUAAGGAGAAAAAAAAGAAACGCAUAGGUUAAACAGCUUCCUUUAUUUCCCAAAGCCCUGAUCAAACUUGAUAGAAUGUGAUACAAAGAACAAUUCAAAGGUACUGCUUUUUAAAAAUCUAAGAAGCUAAAAUGAACCAAACAAACUGAAAAAAAUCCUACAGAGUUGAUAAGACGAAACAAGUAUGAUGUAUAUAGUUUAUCUAUAUUCAACUGAGCAAAUUAAAAUAAAGACAUUUGUAUUACAUUUCCACAUCAAAUCAAGGUCAAUGGUAAACAUUCACUAAAUGAAUAUCAACUCAGAGGGUCAUUUCAAUUGAAUAAGUCACAAAGGCACAGAAUUUUGCAAUGUCAAAAGCUAAUACUUUAUUGGGGCCCCUGGGUGCUUCAGUCAGUUAAGUGUCUGACUCUUGAUCUCAGCUCAGGUCAUGAUUUCACAGUUAUUGGGCUCUGUGCUGACAGCACAGAGCCUGCUUGGGAUUCUCUCUCACUCUCUUCCUGCCCUUUCCCCACUCGUGCUCUCUCAGAUAAAUCAACUUAAAAGCUAUUACUUUAUUAAUUAAAAUGGUCUAUAGUGGAACAUGUCAAAAGCUUUAAAACCAAAAAAUCAAGGAAAAAAUAUCAAGGAAAAUAAACCUCCUCCAAACGUUUACACUCAGGCAGUCACUGUUGACAUUAGGCAUAUUUCCUUAUACUCCCUUUAGUGGAGUUUCCAGAGAUGAGAUCAUACUGCUUAUGGUUGAUGUCUGCCCUUUAUCUCAAAACUCUGCUCUUACUGGUGACCAAAUAAUAGUUUUAGUUCUUCACGCAAAGAAGUUUCCUUAAAUGUUUUUUUGCAUUAGAAAUGUCAAAUAAAAUUCCAGCAGUGAGACAUGAUCAAGAAAUCCCUUACCACCCAUCUCCCUGAGUCAUUUGCCAAUGGUUUUGAUAUUGUAACCCUAGGAACCUAACCUUGGAGUUAACAAGGGGCUGCUUUUUAAUCACAAUUUAAUCAGUGCUUACCGAAACUGGGGCAACAAAGAGAAACCAAAACAUAAACGUCUGUAUCUGAAGUCUAGGUUUUCUUCAAGGGAAAAAUGCUGGUCACAUUGGUUUAAUGAAAAACUAACGUUCCCCUCCCUUGAAAGCUAAGAAUCGUAUCAGAUCUGAUCCACUAAAGGAAAGUAAAUACCAUUAAAAAAAAAAAAAUCUAAAGUGAAUUCCUCU